UUUCUCCUCCCAGGAGGUUCUCACUUCCGUAAAACGCCUCUUGGCUAAGCCCUAGUUUCUUGAGCGAAGAAUUCAGAUUCACCUAAGCUCUCGACGAAUCUCUCAUUGGAAAAGCUUCUGGAGAAGGUCAGGAAGGUUUCAAGUAGCACAAAUUUCUCCUCGCCGAGCCGCUUCGUCGUCUCCGUUCACGGUUUUGCAGUUGAUUCGUAGUGAAACUUAGGUUACUUGGUUUUGUCAGUUGGUUUCUCUUGUUGAUUUAAUAUGGAAGAACCAAAGCAGAAGUCUUCUAAGAGGGAGGACUCUGAAAAGGAAGUAGAAGAGCCAAGGAGGAGGAGCCACCGUGACAGAGAUGAGCACCGAGACCGUGAUAAGGAGAAGAAUGGAGAGAGGCACAGGGAAAGAGACAGGGAACACUACCGUGACAAGAAAGACCGCCACGAUAGGGAGAAGAGUACUGAUGAUAAGUAUAGGGAGAGAAAUAGAGAUAGGGAAAGGGAAAAACACAAGGAUAGGCAUAAAGAGAAAGAGCGGGAAAAGAGCAGCAGGGAUAAGGUCUCUAAAGACAGAGAAAAGGAUAGGUCUGACAGAGAGAGUGCUAAGGAGAAGGAAGACAGAGAGAGGGAGAGAGAGAAAGAGAAGGAGAAGGAUCGCGAAAGAGAGAAAGAGAAGGAGAAGGAUCGCGAAAGAGAGAAAGAGAAGGAGAGGGAUCGAGACAGAGAGAAAGAGAAGGAGAGGGAACGCGAAAGAGAAAAGGAGAGAGAGAAAGAAAAGGAGAGGGAUAAGGAAAGGGAGAGAAGAGAGAGAGAUAGGAGAGAAAAAGAUAGGGAGGAGAGGGAAAGGAGUAGGGAGAAGAGGGUUCGUGAAAAAGAGCGCAGGCGUGAUUAUAGCAGUGACGAUGAUGACGAUGAUGAUGUUGAUGUAAGAGAUCGUGAAAGAAAGAGGCGAAGGAGAGAGAAUGAUCACAAGAGCAGGGAUCAUGAGCGAAGCAAGAAACCUAUUAAGCUCAAAGAUGACAGUGAAGAUGGUAGCCCACUGAGAAGAAGUGAUGAAGAAUCAUCAGAAAAGAAACAGAAGAAUCUAGAAGAAGAACAAGCUGAGGAACAAAGGAAACUGGAAGAGGAGAUGGAGAAGCGAAGAAGGAGAGUUCAGGAAUGGCAGGAGUUGAGAAGAAAGAAGGAGGAGUCAGAGAGAGAAAAGCUUGGAGUUGCAGCAAUUACUGAUGAACCCAAGUCAGGCAAGACUUGGACUUUGGAAGGGGAAUCUGAUGAUGAAGAUGCUGCUCUGGAGGAAAAACAAGGCAUGGAUAUGGAUGUGGAUGGACUUGCUAAGCCUUUGGACGUGGAUGGAGUUGGCCCUGUAAGUUCCAAUGAUGUACCUGAUUUAAAAAUUUCACAGAAUGGUGGUAAUGAUGCUUCUAUGGAUGAUGAUGAAAUCGAUCCAUUGGAUGCAUUCAUGAAUUCUAUGGUGUUGCCUGAAGUUGAGAAGCUUAAGAAUGCUGAGGCUCCUUCUGAAGAUAUUAAGUCUGGUUUGAAAGAUAAUACUGUUAUUUACAAUGAAGAGAAGCCUAAAAAAGGAGUUAAAAAAGCUAUGGGAAGAAUCAUACCUGGUGAAGAUUCUGAUUCAGAUUAUGGUGAAGUUGAAAAUGAUGAAGAUCCUUUGGAGGAUGAAGAUGAUGAAGAAUUUAUGAAACGGGUGAAGAAGACCAAGGCUGAGAAACUAUCCAUAGUUGACCACUCAAAAAUUGAUUAUCCUUCUUUCCGAAAGAAUUUUUAUAUUGAAGUUAGGGAAAUUUCAAGAAUGACUCCUGAAGAGGUUGCUGCUUACAGAAAGCAAUUGGAGUUGAAGUUACACGGAAAGGAUGUUCCAAAGCCAGUUAAAACAUGGCAUCAGACUGGAUUGUCCACUAAGAUCUUGGACACAAUAAAGAAACUGAAUUAUGAAAAGCCGAUGCCAAUCCAGGCUCAGGCGUUGCCAAUAAUCAUGAGUGGUCGAGAUUGCAUUGGUAUUGCAAAGACGGGUUCUGGAAAAACUCUAGCUUUUGUGUUGCCAAUGUUGAGACAUAUUAAGGAUCAGCCUCCACUUGUUCCUGGAGAUGGUCCUAUUGGGCUUGUAAUGGCCCCUACAAGAGAGCUUGUGCAGCAAAUACAUAGUGAUAUAAGAAAGUUUGCAAAGGUUAUGGGCCUUAGUUGUGUGCCUGUGUAUGGAGGUUCAGGUGUUGCUCAACAAAUUAGUGAGUUGAAACGAGGAGCAGAGAUUGUUGUUUGCACUCCGGGUAGGAUGAUUGACAUACUUUGUACUAGUGGAGGAAAAAUUACAAAUCUGCGAAGAGUCACUUAUUUGGUCAUGGAUGAAGCUGAUCGGAUGUUUGAUAUGGGCUUUGAACCUCAGAUCACUAGAAUUGUUCAAAAUACACGUCCGGACCGCCAAACUGUACUGUUUUCCGCCACUUUUCCUCGCCAGGUUGAGACAUUGGCACGCAAAGUGUUGAACAAACCUGUUGAAGUUCAGGUAGGUGGAAGGAGUGUUGUGAACAAAGAUAUUACCCAAUUAGUUGAGGUGAGGCCAGAGAGUGAAAGGUUCCUUAGAUUACUGGAAAUACUUGGAGAAUGGUAUGAAAAGGGGAAAAUUUUGAUAUUUGUCCAUACACAGGAGAAAUGUGAUGCUUUGUUUAAGGAAUUGCUAAAGCAUGGUUAUCCUUGCCUCUCACUUCACGGGGCAAAAGAUCAGACUGAUCGUGAGUCCACCAUUAUGGAUUUUAAAAGUAAUGUAUGCAACUUGUUGAUUGCAACCAGUAUUGCUGCUAGAGGUUUAGAUGUAAAGGAACUUGAGCUGGUGAUAAACUUUGAUGCUCCAAACCAUUAUGAGGACUAUGUUCAUCGUGUUGGACGGACUGGGCGAGCUGGUAGAAAAGGUUGUGCUAUCACUUUUAUAUCUGAGGAGGAUGCAAGAUAUGCACCUGAUCUUGUAAAAGCUUUAGAACUGUCUGAACAAGUUGUUCCUGAUGACCUGAAAGCACUUGCUGAUAGUUUCAUGGCAAAAGUUAAUCAGGGACUUGAACAAGCUCAUGGAACUGGUUAUGGAGGUAGUGGCUUUAAGUUUAACGAAGAGGAAGAUGAAGUGAGGAGAGCUGCAAAGAAAGCACAAGCAAAAGAAUAUGGUUUUGAGGAAGACAAAUCAGAUUCAGAGGAUGAAGAUGAAGGAAUCAGAAAAGCAGGUGCUGACGUCUCUCAGCAGGUGGCUGCCCUUGCUCAGGCAGCUGCUCUUGCUGCUGCUACCAAAGCAAAUGUCGCUCAACUUCCGGGUUCAGUCCAAUUUCCUCAGCUACCGCCUCAUGGUGGAGUACCUGGUCCUCUUGCCAAUAUUCUUCCAGGAAAUGGACUGCUAAUUGCCCCUAAUGAUAUGUCAGCUACUGCAGCAGCAUUUCUUGCUGCCAAGAAUUUGCAGCAGAACUUGGCUAGGCUUCAGAAUGAGGUCAUGCCUGAGCAUUAUGAAGCAGAAUUGGAGAUAAAUGAUUUUCCCCAAAAUGCUCGUUGGAAGGUGACACACAAAGAGACACUAGGUCCUAUUUCAGAAUGGACUGGAGCUGCCAUCACUACUAGGGGUUAUUAUAUCCCACCUGGAAAGGUACCUGGACCUGGGGAAAGAAAAUUAUACUUGUUCAUUGAGGGUCCUACAGAACAAUCUGUCAAGAGGGCAAAAGCUGAGCUAAAACGUGUUUUGGAGGACAUAACAAUGCAAGCAACCUCACUUCCGGGUUCAGCCCAGCCAGGACGAUACUCGGUUGUUUAAGAUUUCCCUUUGGUGGACUUCUAUUGGUCGCUGCUCCUUGUUUACACAUUUAGUUAAUUUUCAUUAAAGGGAGAGAAGAAAACACAAUGUAUGUGCUAUGACCUGGAUGCUGUGGAUUUUCAAGUUAACCUGAUGGCCUAAUGAUGCAAGGCAGGUUUUUUGGUCACUGGUAAGAGGGUGAGAAGGGUGUGAAGAAGAUUCAGAGUUGUCUUAAUAUCCUUGUGGUAAGCAAUUCUUUGAUCAAACAUUUACACUAUUAGAUUGAAUAUAGCUUUCAAGAACUAUAAUGUUUACUUCAUCGGUGAGUUUAAUCUUGUGAAUGUUCUUCACUUUUACUUUGUAAUUGUUUCACCAUAUUACUGAUCUUUUGAAUGCAGAAAGUGAGCUUGAUUUUUGCUCACACCAUGACUGAAAUACUCAGUACUGGUAUAGAAGUCCACUAGUCUCUGUUUGAUUUCUUGCCGUACCAUUUACAUAAUUUUAUUUCAGUCCUUUAAGGCUUUAAUCCCUAUGUUCAUAUAUUCCAGCAAUGAAGACUGAGUAGAGAGGAUAUCCAGCCAUCAAUUAUUAUCUCUGAUUGAGGAAAACACUCUACUUUGAUCCACCUUGUUUCUUUAACAAACAUUUUCUUUUAUGGUUUGUUUUGUUUCCAACUUUACAUUAUAGACAAGAUGGAUAUUCCUAUGAUUUAGUGAUAGAAUAACCCCAAAUUCUACCCA